UUAAAAGAAUGGUCGAAUGUGUCGUCACCACCUGCAUUGGGGAUCCGAGCAUGAUGGUCCAGGACAGGGCCAGGGUGGUGGAGCUCUGAAUCCAGGUAGCCAAGGAAUGCCAAGGCCUGAGGAACCUUUUCUCACUCCAUGUGAUCCUCUGGGCUCUGCAGGGCCCCUCCAUUCAGCCUUUAAAAGAGACAUGGAGAUGGGUGUCCAGGAAGAACUGGACAAAACUUAAAAAGUUGAUGAAAACAAGCCAGUGGGAGAGCAGGAAGCUGCUCAAGGAGGUGAGUGGAGGCUGGAGAUCUGGAAGGAGGGGAGGAGAGGGGGGGAGAGACCAGGCAGGAUGUGCUUUGGGA